CUGCUAAUAGAUUUUAAAGGGUAUAUGAUUAUUUCUGAUUUUUUUUAAGGAACAACAGACAAGCUGAAAGAGAGUUACUUGAGCUCUGGCUGAUUGCCCUUUCAACUGGAUCAAUCACUCGGAUGUUUCAGGCUUUUAAAGUACUGUGUUAUCGUCAACGAGGUGACAUUUAUACCUGUUCGAUUAACCCACGCCAAUGAAGGAAAACUAAAUCCUGGCAUUGACGUUAACUCCCGACAGACUCCCUCCCACAUUCUUUAGGAAGUUCCUGAACUACGUCGUCAGCUCAGCGUGGCUUGUCCUUGUUUUCCUGAAGAUCAAUCGAUGUGAGGAUAAGACUGCGCCUAACGAGAUUUGUUGUUCUUCUAGCCGUAAAGAGGCCAGACAAAUUUGAAAGGUUUCUAAUGUGCGUGAAAAACUGGGGAUAUAGCCAGCCCACGAAAGCUCGCAUGAUUCUUGAUCCUAGCCGACCCGAAUAAAAAUAAGGAAACCCGAGAAACCAUUUUAGUUUUGGCCUACCAGUUAAGCCCUGUAUUGGGAUUAUAAUUGAAGGUGUACCUUGUUUCUAAUUGAGCUUCACGUCCCACUAGCACCAUCGGAUAUGUAUCUGCUUGGUUGGCUCAUCCUGGUCUAUUUUAGUAUCACCUGCCAACGCGUCAGGAAAUAGAGCUCCCAACAUGUUUUCUAAAGCAUGAAGAUGUGGAGCACGUUUACAUCUUCGACGGGAAAACUCGACUUUUGUCGCGUGGUGAACAUCUAUUGCACCAUGCAUAUACGUCUACCAUGAAGCAUCAAAGGAUUGAUAAAGAAGAUUUUCUUCGACAUCGAUGAAACAGUCCAUCAGCGGCGUCCUUUUUGCUGUGGAAUUUCACACCAUGUUGCACCGAAGUAUUCCGUUCAAUUUGGGAAGAUUUGACAGCCCUUUGACUUCAACAUUUCACAGCAGAUGAUAAAAUAACGUGCGUUCGGCUUACCGUACGUCAUACGCGUUCCAUUCAUCCCAUUGACGAUUACGUUGUAGCGAUCGUAGCUGAUGGCAGCCAUUGUACAGAUGCUGCAUAAUCCGAAAACAGAACCGGUGCAGGCGUAUAAUUCACACAUGAAAGGCCCAAAAAGCCAAACUCCUCCGUUGAAGCAGUUGAGGACAAACAUUGGAAACUGAGUAAUCAUCAUGCACAGAUGAAGAACCAAGGAAUUGCCUGAAAUAAUAGGUCAACAAAAACAAUGCCGGAAAUUUUUUUAAGCAAGACGACAAAACUUCAAAUUUAGGAUUAUCCACAUACCCGUGAUGGAGGCCAUACCCAAUACGAUGUAGAGAAGUCCCUAAAAGAGUAAAUGAUUAGAACAGUUACUGCAAGGUGAGUCCUAUGAUGAUAGUAACAACUUACAAGUAG
rnacentral:lncRNA from 1 species